AAUAAUACAGAAAAAACAUUGAUUCUAAUAUGUUUUUAUAGCAGGAAUUAUUAUAUUAUAUGAGAAUAAGUCGUGCAGUAACAAACAUAUAAGGAAUGUUUUGGACUAUACCAUGCUCUUGGCAGCAAAGUUCCUUUGAUCUGGAGCAUAGGAAGCCACUUUUGUGCUGCCUGGGCAGUCAAAGACUUCUGUCCCCAUUGGUUCAGUCAUGGCAUCUAUAACAGAAAACAUACAAACAAAACAACUUUCAGUAGUGAAAAGGAGGUGAAGAUGAACAAUGUCUGUCGGGCUGAAUUGGUGCUAUGUUAUUAUAUAGAUAUUAUAUUUAAUAUUAUAUAUAUAUAUAUUACAGUUAACUUACUUGAAUUCACUAACGUUACCAAUUCGCCAGUUUAUUGUAGAUGUAGACUGCCUGGCUGUGGUGGAAUCCACUGACGUUUAUAGUUUAAGGUUAUUUAAAUUGUCUAACAUUAACACACACCUGUUGCCAAUCCUCAUCUACGCCUGGCUUUAAGAUGUGGGGCUCCCUGAGACUCAUCGCCAGAUUAUUCCUAGCCAUCGCAUGGUUGAGUACUUCAGGCCUGUUUAGUUACUUGAGCAUUGAGUUUGUUUCUAGUGUGUUCUCUGCCUGGACCCAGACUACGUUCUUUUGUCUUUCUCCUUUUUCAAGUUACCGUGUGUUUUUGUCCUGCUUGGAGGCCUGACCCUGCUCACAUCUCCCCUACUACCACUCUGUACUACUAAUUCCUCAGUUCUUUGUAAAUAAACUCUUUACUUUACUGGC